rnacentral:lncRNA from 1 species
AAAAAAAAAACUAUCCAGGAUCUCCACUGGUGAAGUUGCCUCAGAGAUUUUUGGAGAUCCAGAAAAAUGACUUCUCUAUUCUCUGUUCUACAUCCAAUGCUGGAAAGAAACAGUUAAACAUUUCAAAUGAAGCACGCAAAGCCUGGCAGGUGUGUUGUUUCUUGCAAGGUGGAGCCUAGCUUGGGUUCAGAUGGGUAAGUUCUAAAAUUUCAGUAGCUGAAGCAUCUGGCUACGGAGCCACAGGUUGAGAGUUUGAUUCCCCAGCAGGCCUUUCAAAAAGAGGUUGGACUUGAUGAUACAUAGGGUCACUUUCAGUUCUGCAAUUCUAUGGUGGUGGUGAUGAUUGUAAGCACACAAAUCAUCACAAUGAUGACAUGCUAUUGCUUUUGGGGGGAUUGAUCCUCAUUUGCGGGCAAACACUGGUCCAAUUUGUGCAUCAUAAUGAAUUAAGCAUCCCGGGCAGUUGGGCACACUGACACACUGCCUUGGUCAUGAUAAGAAUUCUUAAGAAUUCUGGUUUAUUGUGAUGUCUGAAUAUGGUCACAGCAUCUCAGCCUGCCCUCCCCUGCUUACCAGGUAUGGGUGCAAUGAAAGAGGGAAGGCAACAAACACCCAGCGUCUCCUCUUCAUGAGUGAAACCACGUUGCAAAAGACCAGCCUUGGACUUCACCGCUCUUUAGAGAACUGAGGAACGCGCUUGAACUCACCACGUCUUUUUCCUUGAGGAGAAUGGUGUUGUGCUAGGCAUUUCACUGAGCUGUCCCUUCCCAUCACCAUGCAGCCUCUCCUGAGGUUCUUCGUGAUCUUCUCAGUGGUCCUGAUGAAAGGUUUUUCUGUACCUACGCCACCUGUCCCUUUGAAAUGCGAAGCGUGCGUUGCUGAGGCUGAAACCUGUUCUGGGGGGAAAGAAUCUUGUCCUUCUGGGCUGGAUAGCUGCUUCACACUGUCUCUGGAAGUCAAAAAUGGAGACGAGGCCACUAAACUGCACGGCUCAAAAGGCUGCAUGCCAAAGGCUAAAUGCGUAAAAUUAAAAGGAGAAAUCGGGAACCCUAUACCCGAUGAAUAUGGGAGCUAUCCAGCUGGGGCGAUUGUGAAAAAGGUGGGAUGUACAGACAUCACGGGGUCAGAAGUUUCUGAAACAUCUCCCUCUUCUUCUCCAUCCUUUUCUGGACCUCCCGCCUCUUUCCUGCUCUCUCUCUUCGGAUUCCUGCUCAUGAACGUCAUCUUCUAGUGAUUUUUUUUGGCAGCAAGAUCUCACUUGAAGAAUAAUGCCUCUUAUCUACAUGUAGCGCACAGCCUGUUCUGACCCUAGUCCUGUCACUUCCUCCACCUUUGGUUGGAAACGAAUAAAAGUCAGGUGCACAACGGACGGAAAUCCUGU